rnacentral:rRNA from 1 species
UACGUAGGGGGCAAGCGUUGUCCGGAAUCAUUGGGCGUAAAGAGCGUGUAGGCGGCCCGGUAAGUCCGCUGUGAAAGUCCAGGGCUCAACCCUGGGAUGCCGGUCGAUACUGCCGGACUAGAGUUCGGAAGAGGCGAGUGGAAUUCCCGGUGUAGCGGUGAAAUGCGCAGAUAUCGGGAGGAACACCAAUGGCGAAGGCAGCUCGCUGGGACGUUACUGACGCUGAGACGCGAAAGCGUGGGGAGUGAACAGG